rnacentral:tRNA from 1 species
ACCACGGCCCUAGCCCCUAGCUUGGGCUCUGGAGGCCUAAUACUCAGGCCGCGAGGAGGUCNACUCGGUGGGGCCG